rnacentral:misc_RNA from 1 species
GAUGAAGAACGUAGCGAAAUGCGAUACGUAGUGUGAAUUGCAGAAUUCAGUGAAUCAUCGAAUCUUUGAACGCACAUUGCACCUCUCGGUAUUCCGGGAGGUAUGCCUGUUCGAGCGUCAUUUGUACCCUCAAGCUCUGCUUGGAGUUGGGUGUUUGUUCCGCCUCUGUGUGUGAACUCGCCUCAAAACAAUUGGCAGCCGGCGUACUUGUUUCGGAGCGCAGCACAUUUUGCGAUCCAGAUCAACGUACAGCGGCAUCCAAGAAGCCUUAUUUAACGCUCUUGACCUCGGAUCAGGUAGGGAUACCCGCUGAACUUAAGCAUAUCAAUAAGCGGAGGA